GAAGCUACCAGUCCUCCAACAGAAAUCAAGUAUAAGAAAGCUAUACCUAUUUUAGUGAUUGCAGUAUAAGGUGGCCUCUUGAAUUUGCCUGUAUGCGAGGGCCUCCAGGAUGGAAGCGGUUACAUAUUUUUAAAAAAAUGCAAACCAAGUUGCUAAUCAGGAAACAGACAAUGGGAGUGUCACGAACACCCUUUUGAACCUCGUGGAGGUGGUUUUCUCUUCGCUCUAUUGACUCUGCUGAAUCCAGAUUCUUGUACAGCACUGCAAACAUGUCAGACCCAACAAGACUGGAAAUGGCAUUGGCUGCAAUGUUCAGUGCCUACAUGUCCUACCAAGGAGAUGACAAUAAACUGACCAAAGAACAAUUUCUAAAAUUAGUGAAGAAUGAACUACCCUUACUUUCUCAGGGAAAAAGUGAAGAUGAGCUCUUCCAGUGUGUCGACCACAAUGAUGAUAAACGUGUGGACUUUGAAGAGUUCGCCUCACUGGUUGCUGGUUGCGCCUGUGCAAGCCAUGACGCCCUCCAAGAGGUCAUGAAAGAACUGGACACAAAAGGCUGCCCAAAGUAAAGCACUGCUGAUGUGGAAAGAAACCCAAUAUAGGCCUUCCCUGGAUUCACAUUAAAACAAUAAAGUUUGUCAAAGUCAAA